CCAUCAGGAACAGCAAAGAAGAGGGUAUCCAGCGAAGAAGAAAUCCGAUCCUAUCAGAAACAGCGGUACCGAUAGCACGGAGGAAAACGGUGCUUUUCAGCGACAUCGGCUGGCCAGUCUGUUGAUGAAGACUACAACUUUCAGUUGAAAGUAGCGCUUUAGCGCUUUAGAGGAGGUCAAGGUGAUGCAACAACAACAGCAUGGAUGCUGCAAACCCUUUACUUCUGUGGAAGAGGUGGACUCAUCAGAGAAGCUCCUUCCAGCUUCCACUAAGGAACACAAAGCCCUGAACCAGAAACUUAAGUCUGGAGCACUUCCUAAAAAAUAUACUUCAAAAUCAUCAAAGACAUCUUAGUAGACUGAAGACAUCAUAAUAAAGAGGAUCGGAGAGCCCAAGCUCUCAACAUUAAAGAGGCAUAGGCUUUUAAUCGCUCCAUUUUGACCGAUGUGGAGUACCGAUACAUCAAACAGGAGACGGACACAGAAAUCAGAGUGCCCUGUGACGGAUGCAGCAGGAGGCAGCCUCCAAGAGACAUCAACAUUUGAACUAUCACAGAGUAUCUUGUUAAUAAAAGUGAUCUUCAAAAUAUGCUUAAUAUUACAUUCAUAUGUGCAGUUAUGUAGAUGCAAAACAUCUGAUGUACUACAAAAAUUUAUAAACUGUAAUAAACUAAUGUGUUUAUUA